rnacentral:rRNA from 1 species
UAUCAAUAAGCGGAGGAAAAGAAACCAACAGGGAUUGCCUUAGUAGCGGCGAGUGAAGCGGCAAAAGCUCAAAUUUGAAAUCUGGCUCUUUCAGAGUCCGAGUUGUAAUUUGAAGAAGGUAUCUUUGGGUCUGGCUCUUGUCUAUGUUUCUUGGAACAGAACGUCACAGAGGGUGAGAAUCCCGUGCGAUGAGAUGAUCCAGGCCUAUGUAAAGUUCCUUCGAAGAGUCGAGUUGUUUGGGAAUGCAGCUCUAAGUGGGUGGUAAAUUCCAUCUAAAGCUAAAUAUUGGCGAGAGACCGAUAGCGAACAAGUACAGUGAUGGAAAGAUGAAAAGAACUUUGAAAAGAGAGUGAAAAAGUACGUGAAAUUGUUGAAAGGGAAGGGCUUGAGAUCAGACUUGGUAUUUUGUAUGUUACUUCUUCGGGGGUGGCCUCUACAGUUUAUCGGGCCAGCAUCAGUUUGGGCGGUAGGAGAAUUGCGUUGGAAUGUGGCACGGCUUCGGUUGUGUGUUAUAGCCUUCGUCGAUACUGCCAGCCUAGACUGAGGACUGCGGUUUAUACCUAGGAUGUUGGCAUAAUGAUCUUAAGUCGCCCGUCUUGAAACACGGACC